UACGUAGGGUGCAAGCGUUAUCCGGAAUUAUUGGGCGUAAAGAGCUUGUAGGCGGUUUGUCGCGUCUGCUGUGAAAUUCCAGGGCUUAACCCUGGGCUUGCAGUGGGUACGGGCAGACUAGAGUGUGGUAGGGGAGACUGGAAUUCCUGGUGUAGCGGUGAAAUGCGCAGAUAUCAGGAGGAACACCGAUGGCGAAGGCAGGUCUCUGGGCCACUACUGACGCUGAGAAGCGAAAGCAUGGGGAGCGAACAGG
rnacentral:rRNA from 1 species